UACGUAGGGCGCAAGCGUUGUCCGGAAUUAUUGGGCGUAAAGGAGCUCGUGAGGCCGCCUGCUAAGCGUGCGGUGAAAGUCGGGGGCUCAACCCCCGAUCGGCCGUGCGAACUGGGAGGCUUGAGCACUGUAGAGGCAGGCGGAAUUCCGGGUGUAGCGGUGGAAUGCGUAGAGAUCCGGAAGAACACCGGUGGCGAAGGCGGCCUGCUGGGCAGUUUUGCUGACACUGAGGCGCGACAGCGUGGGGAGCAAACAGG
rnacentral:rRNA from 1 species